GAUGAACGCUGGCGGCGUGCCUAAUACAUGCAAGUCGAGCGAAUGGAUUGAGAGCUUGCUCUUAUGAAGUUAGCGGCGGACGGGUGAGCAACACGCGGGUAACCUGCCCAUAAGACUGGGAUAACUCCGGGAAAUCGGGGCUAAUACCGGAUAACAUUUUGAACCGCAUGGUUCGAAAUUGAAAGGCGGCUUCGGCUGUCACUUAUGGAUGGACCCGCGUCGCAUUAGCUAGUUGGUGAGGUAACGGCUCACCAAGGCAACGAUGCGUAGCCGACCUGAGAGGGUGAUCGGCCACACUGGGACUGAGACACGGCCCAGACUCCUACGGGAGGAAGCAGUAGGGAAUCGUCCGCAAUGGACGAAAGUCUGACGGAGCAACGCCGCGUGAGUGAUGAAGGCUUUCGGGUCGUAAAACUCUGUUGUUAGGGAAGAACAAGUGCUAGUUGAAUAAGCUGGCACCUUGACGGUACCUAACCAGAAAGCCACGGCUAACUACGUGCCAGCCGCCGCAGUAA
rnacentral:rRNA from 1 species